AUGAAAGAUUUUCAAUGGAUACCUCUCCCAUCUUUCUACAAAGAAAAAGCUCUUAAUAAAAAGAAUCCAAGCUGCUGUCACAUAUCAAAAAGUCAAACUGAGCAUCUAAUGGAAAGAGAGGACCAGGCAGACCAAAACCAGCUAAAUAUUGUUCCUGUAGUUGAGAAAAUAUCCCUUGCAAUUAAUGAUGAUCCAGGUGAGAUCAUAAGAAUGAAACACAGCAGGAAAAGUUCUUCAAAACUGAAAGAAAAAGGAAGGACUGAAAGGUAUGAACGUAAUCAGUUUACAGAUUCAACACUGCAUAUUGUACCAGCAUCUACCCAAAGUCUUGCAAAAGAUUUUUGCCUUCAACAGCUCUGUAAAGGGACUGUGCUGAGUGAAGAGAGAAGCAGAAAAGAAAAUGAAAGCAGAGGACAACAGUCAGAUGCACUAAUGCACCAACAUAAUGUUUUAUUAGGUGAGACCAGAUCUACAUCUGCAGAAAUAAAAUCUUCUGUUGACAUCCCCAGAAUGGAAGGUCUUGAGGAAAAGGUUGAGGAUCAGAGAGCAGGAACUUUAACUCUUGACAGUUGUCCGAUGUGUCUAAUCCAGUUUACUGGAACAUUCCUCUGAUACCUAUCUGUGUUCCCUCUGAGGUUUGUACACACUUGUGGCAGAGAGAAACUUGCACUGGUGUUUUCCAUCAUGUCCUUGUUCUGCUGAUUGUCUCAGGAGUUGAGUGCCCAGCACCUCUAAGGGCUAUUCGGCACUUAAAACUUAGGUCAGUAUAACUACAGCACUCUGGGGAUGUGAAAAAUCUAUGUGAACCUAGCCUCCAUUGUAGACGCAGUUAGGUUCAUGGAAGAAUGCUUCCAUUUACCUUUCUACCGUUGCUCAGGGAAGUGGUGUUCCUACAGUGAUGGAAAACCAUUUUCCACUGCUGAAGGCUGUGUCUACACAAGGGGUUAUGCCAGCCUACCUACAUUACAGUACCCAUGCUGCUAGAGUCCCCAUAGUGUAGACAUAGCCUAAGACGAUUAGACUCCAAGAAAGCACAUCGGUCUUUGUUAUUAAUCCAGCACCUCUAACAAAAAUUUUAAAAAAAAUCAGAAAAAACGCCACAGAAUUCCGAGAAAAAUUCUUAAUAAAGUAUUGCCUGACUUUGUUUGAAAUACA
rnacentral:lncRNA from 1 species